rnacentral:rRNA from 1 species
AGCAGCCGCGGUAAUUCCAGCUCCAAUAGCGUAUAUUAAAGUUGCUGCAGUUAAAAAGCUCGUAGUUGAAUUUCGGGAUCAAUAUGUUGGUCGUGCCUCGGUACGUACUAGCUUAUUGGUUUCUCCCUUCUGACGAACCAUGAUGUCAUUUAUUUGGUGUUAUGGGAAAUCAGGACUGUUACUUUGAAAAAAUUAGAGUGUUUAAAGCAGGCUCACGCUUGAAUACAUUAGCAUGGAAUAAUGAAAUAGGACGUUUGAUUCUAUUUUGUUGGUUUCUAGGAUCGACGUAAUGAUUAAUAGGGAUAGUUGGGGGCAUUAGUAUUCAAUUGUCAGAGGUGAAAUUCUUGGAUUUAUUGAAGACUAACUACUGCGAAAGCAUUUGCCAAGGAUGUUUUCAUUAAUCAAGAACGAAAGUUAGGGGAUCGAAGACGAUCAGAUACCGUCGUAGUCUUAACCAUAAACUAUGCCGACUAGGGAUCGGAUGAUGUUAAUUUUUAAUGACUCAUUC